CCCCUCUCUGCCUCCAGAUGACCAGAAAUUCUUGGAGAUUCUCCAGCAUGAAGCAAAAAAAGGGAACUUGUGCUCAUUGUCCUGCACAGCAACCUGGAGACAUCUUUUCUUCUUGAACAUUGGAAAAGGCUUGUGACAUUUAGAGACAGAGAAAUAAAAAUUGUUCUCUGAAGAAUAAUAAGUGAGGCAGUGAUUCUGUUUUCACACCAGAUCCCAGAACACCAGGUCUGGUCAAGCCUGCAGCUGCGAAGUGUUAUUUAGAACUGCUGUAGGCAAAAAGAAUCAUAUUUCUGUGUCAUUCUUCAAAGAUGUUUGUGUGAUGACAGCUUGAUUCUUCAGACCUGCUCAAGGACUCUUUUCUUCUCAUUUGCCUUUAUUUUGAUGGUUUGGGGAAACAUCUUUUAGAGAAGAACAUGUCAUGAACAUGAGAGCACAGACAUCUCUUCCACAGACUGACUUCAAAUCUUUUGAGCAAAUACCCAGGAGUAAGAUUGCCAGAUCAUAUGAGAACCAGGAACCCUGGGAACUUCAUUUCCUAGACUUUCAAGAAGGACUUCAAAGAUUUUAGAUACUUCCAAAAGUAGAAACCAGUAGAAGAAAGUACUGUGCCUCCAGAGAAGACAUGUUUUUCAAAAGCAUCAUGGUGAGGUCGUUUUUACUAAGUUCCAGAGAGUCCUGAAACUUCCUGAUUUCCACAUGCAACUUUCAGCUGUUCCCGAUCCAUUUCUUUUUAAUGAUCAGAAUGGUUUUGCUUUCUUGAUGGACUCCUAAUCGAUACAAUAAAAGAGAAUAAGAAGUAAAUCUGCACUUAAAUGAAUGUAUACACCCAAAUGGUGUCAACUGGGUGGUCCAGAGAAUUGUAAAUCUUGCUAUUGCAGAGUGCACCUGGCUAGAUUUUCAGUGCCCCACAUGCCUGCUCGCUCCCUUAGGGGGAACAGAAAAAAAAUAAAACUUGCAUCUUCUACCUCAAGUUAUUUUCGCAAAUUAUUUUCCCAAAUCAGAAUAUAAUUAAAGAUAACCAAGUACAAGAGAACAAGA
rnacentral:lncRNA from 1 species